rnacentral:misc_RNA from 1 species
UCCGGUUUGUCACCGGCAGUCCCAUUAGAGUGCUCAACUGAAUGUAGCAACUAAUGGCAAGGGUUGCGCUCGUUGCGGGACUUAACCCAACAUCUCACGACACGAGCUGACGACAGCCAUGCAGCACCUGUGUUCCGGCUCCCUUUCGGGCACUCCCGCAUCUCUGCAGGAUUCCGGACAUGUCAAGGCCAGGUAAGGUGGGGAUGACGUUCCAAGGUUGGUU